rnacentral:rRNA from 1 species
ACGCUCGACACCUACAGGAGGCAGCAGUAGGGAAUCUUCCACAAUGGACGCAAGUCUGAUGGAGCAACGCCGCGUGAGUGAAGAAGGUUUUCGGAUCGUAAAGCUCUGUUGUUGGUGAAGAAGGAUAGAGGUAGUAACUGGCCUUUAUUUGACGGUAAUCAACCAGAAAGUCACGGCUAACUACGUGCCGGCAGCCGCGGUAAUCUGAGCGGGCUGGCAAGGC